rnacentral:snoRNA from 2 species
CACCUCUCAGGGUCGCAUCUGGAGAGUUUCCAGUACUCUACUGGUCUCGACUAUGGAAGGGAGAGUCAAGCCAGAGGCAUAUUCAUUCUAUUCCUAGCCUGGGCAGUGGCUAGAGAGUGGAAGGCAAUCUGCUACAAGU